AUUUUUAUAGCUUAAGUAUCAAGAGUAUGAUAUUGAAAAUAUCAAUGUGAAUUUUAUUCUAAAAAUA
rnacentral:tRNA from 1 species